UUCUAUUUGUUUCUAUGAUUCCAUCUCUGUAAACGGUCAAUGUAUAUGUGUGAGUCUUUUAUAAUUCGAAUCUUCUGCUCAGAUAUAUGAAUUUAUUCUCAUAGAUUACAAGAA
rnacentral:sRNA from 1 species